rnacentral:rRNA from 1 species
AUUGAACGCUGGCGGCAGGCCUAACACAUGCAAGUCGAACGAGUGGCGGACGGGUGAGUAAUGUCUGGGAAACUGCCUGAUGGAGGGGGAUAACUACUGGAAACGGUAGCUAAUACCGCAUACCAUCAGAUGUGCCCAGAUGGGAUUAGCUAGUUGGUGGGGUAACGGCUCACCAAGGCGACGAUCCCUAGCUGGUCUGCGAGGAUGACCAGCCACAUGGGAAAGGAGACACGGCCCAGACUCAUACGGGAGGAAGCAGUGGGGAAGAGUGGACAAUGGGCGCAAGCCUGAUGCAGCAAUGCCGCGGGUAUGAAGAGGGCCUUCGGGUUGGAAAGUACUUUCUGCGGGGAGGCGGUACCCGCAGAAGAAGCACCGGCUAACUCCGUGCCAGCAGCCGCGGUAAUUC